rnacentral:rRNA from 1 species
UGGGGAAUCUUGCGCAAUGCGCGAAAGCGUGACGCAGCAACGCCGCGUGAGGGAAGACGGCUUUCGGGUUGUAAACCUCUUUCAGUGGGGACGAAGUCUGUCUGGUUAAUAGCCAGUUCAGUUGACGGUACCUUCAGAAGAAGCCCCGGCUAACUACGUGCCAGCAGCCGCGGUAAUACGUAGGGGGCAAGCGUUGUCCGGAAUCAUUGGGCGUAAAGAGCGUGUAGGCGGCCUAAUAAGUCUGCUGUGAAAGUCCAGGGCUCAACCCUGGAAUGCCGGUGGAUACUGUUGGGCUUGAGUUCGGAAGAGGCGAGUGGAACUCCUGGUGUAGCGGUGAAAUGCGCAGAUAUCAGGAAGAACACCAAUAGCGAAGGCAGCUCGCUGGUACGACACUGACGCUGAGACGCGAAAGCGUGGGGAGCAAACAGG